CAACAGAUAGUAAGGGCCAGUUCCAAACAGUGGUAUUAAUAGAACCGAGCCUCAGACUGGAAUGACCACUCUCAUGCCUCAGAGCUUCUCAAACAAAGAAUUUCUUCCAGGGUGAAACAGCACAAACACCCAGACAAUCUUAAGUUGUCAUGAGCAACAACAGUUGUGCAGCAAGACUGGAAGGCAUCACAGUAGGCUAUUAAAGGUAGGAUCAGUUACCUAGUUUUUAAAAACAAGAUGUCAGUGAUCUGGUAAAAAUCUUCAGAAGAAAUGGCUACAAUUUCCAAGUACAGCAGCAGUGCAGAUAUCCACAAGAUGAACCAAGUGGAGAAAAAAAACAGGAUGCCAGGACAGUAAAACCCAGAUAUGAUUCAAGAAGAAAGAGAGAGCUCCAUUGGCAUGGCAUAACCAAUAAGCUCUGGGCCACAAAAGCAUUGCCACUCCCUUCUCUGUUUAUGGAACCUUCAAGGCAUGGAUGAAGGACCUUCAGGGCCCACUUGACCGGGGAUCACAGGUUGAGAACCACUGCUUUAGAAGGAGAGAAGAGUGGUCAGCAUCUGGUGGACUCAGUCCUCUUCUCCACUGCCAUUCCUUUUUCCUUGUCUUUUUCUACUAUAAGACUGAGGACCGAGAACUGUCAAAUUAAAAAUGUGGACUCAGGAUGGCU